AACGUAGGACGCGAGCGUUAUCCGGAGUUACUGGGCGUAAAGCGCGGGCAGGCGGUCUGACAAGUCUGAUGUGAAAUCACCCAGCUUAACUGGGCGAGGCCAUUGGAAACUGACAGGCUGGAGGGCAGUAGAGGUAGGCGGAAUUCCGGGUGGAGUGGUGAAAUGCGUAGAGAUCCGGAGGAACACCAGUGGCGAAGGCGACUUCCUGGCCUGUUCUUGACGCUGAGGCGCGAAAGCUAGGGUAGCAAACGGG
rnacentral:rRNA from 1 species